rnacentral:rRNA from 1 species
GCGUUAAAGCUCCUUACCUAGGCACACAAAUCCCCCAUACAGCCCUAAACCCCCCACCCAUACUGAACGAUCUCAUAAUUUAUGAUAAACCUUCUGUUAGAACUAGUAACAAGAAAUUGCAUUUCUCCUAAGUAUACCCUUAAACCAACACUGACCAACUACUGGUGCUUAACGCCAUGACCCCCCUGUAGUAACCUCGCUUGAAAACACUACAACACCACUGCGUUACCCUAACACUAGAAUACUUUAGGAAAAAUUUAAAGGGGGUGAAGGAACUCGGCAAAUAAUAGCCCCGCCUGUUUACCAAAAACAUCGCCUCCCGCUAAUCCCAUGAGAGGUCCAGCCUGCCCGGUGACAAAGUUUAACGGCCUCGGUACCCUGACCGCGCAAAGGUAGCAUAAUCACUUGUUCUUUAAAUAGGGACUUGUAUCAACGGCAUCACGAGGGCUAAACUGUCUCCCCCCCCUAAUUAGUGAAUCUGAUCUCUUCGUGAAAAAGCGAAGAUUAUUAUAUAAGACGAGAAGACCCCGUGGAGCUUAAAACCUAAUAACACCUUCUUCACUGUAACCUUAAAAAAUAAGAUCUUUGUUAGAAGUUUUCGGCUGGGGUGUCCAAGGAGUACAACAAAACCUCCAUGACGAACAUUCCUCUACCCAAGAGCCACUGCUCUAAGAAUCAGCAAUCUGACGUAACAUGACCCGAUUAUUCGAUCAACGAACCAAGUUACCCCGGGGAUAACAGCGCAAUCCACUUCAAGAGCCCUUAUCGACAAGUGGGUUUACGACCUCGAUGUUGGAUCAGGGUAUCCCUGUGGUGCAGCAGCUACUAAAGGUU